CCGCGCCGCAUUAGCUAGUUGGUAAGGUAACGGCUUACCAAGGCAACGAUGCGUAGCCGACCUGAGAGGGUGAUCGGCCACACUGGAACUGAGACACGGUCCAGACUCCUACGGGAGGCAGCAGUAGGGAAUCUUCCGCAAUGGGCGAAAGCCUGACGGAGCAACGCCGCGUGAGUGAAGAAGGUCUUCGGAUCGUAAAACUCUGUUAUUAGGGAAGAACAAAUGUGUAAGUAACUAUGCACGUCUUGACGGUACCUAAUCAGAAAGCCACGGCUAACUACGUGCCAGCAGCCGCGGUAAUACGUAGGUGGCAAGCGUUAUCCGGAAUUAUUGGGCGUAAAGCGCGCGUAGGCGGUUUUUUAAGUCUGAUGUGAAAGCCCACGGCUCAACCGUGGAGGGUCAUUGGAAACUGGAAAACUUGAGUGCAGAAGAGGAAAGUGGAAUUCCAUGUGUAGCGGUGAAAUGCGCAGAGAUAUGGAGGAACAUCCAGUGGCGAAAGCGACUUUCUGGUCUGUAACUGACGCUGAUGUGCGAAAGCGUGGGGAUCAACAGGAUUAGAUACCCUGGUAGUCCACGUCGUAACGAUGAGUGCUAGUGUUAGGGGGUUUCCGCCCUAGUGCUGCAGCUACGCAUA
rnacentral:rRNA from 1 species